GAUGAAGAACGUAGUGAAAUGCGAUAAGUAAUGUGAAUUGCAGAAUUCAGUGAAUCAUCGAAUCUUUGAACGCACAUUGUGCCCAUUAGUAUUCUAGUGGGCAUGCCUGUUCGAGCGUCAUUAAGUCCACUUAAGCCCUGCUUAGUGUUGGGAGACUGCUCCAGCGGUGCUACCCUGUAGCUACCCUGCAGCUCCUCAAAGACAGCGGCGGAGUUGUGGUAUCCUCUGAGCUUAGUAACUUGUUCUAGCUUUCGAGUACACCACUUCCCCUGCCGUAAAACCCUUAAUUUUUAAUGGUUGACCUCGGAUCAGGUAGGAAUACCCGCUGAACUUAAGCAUAUCAAUAAGCGGAGGA
rnacentral:misc_RNA from 1 species